CCUACGGGGGGCAGCAGUUAGGAAUAUUCGUCAAUGGGGGAAACCCUGAACGAGCAAUGCCGCGUGAGUGAUGACGGUCUUUAUGAUUGUAAAACUCUGUUGUUAGGGAAGAAACCUUACUAUAGGAAAUGAUAGUAAGCUGACGGUACCUAACCAGAAAGCCCCGGCUAACUACGUGCCAGCAGCCGCGGUAAUACGUAGGGGGCGAGCGUUAUCCGGAUUUAUUGGGUUUAAAGGGUGCGUAGGCGGACAGUCAAGUCAGCGGUAAAAAUGCGGUGCUCAACGCCGUACAGCCGUUGAAACUG
rnacentral:rRNA from 1 species